GACGAACGCUGGCGGCAGGCCUAACACAUGCAAGUCGAACGCGUGUAGCAAUACACGAGUGGCGCACGGGUGAGUAACACGUGGGAAUCAACCCAGAGGUUCGGAAUAACCGCGGGAAACUGCGGCUAAUACCGGAUAUCCCCUACGGGGGAAAGAUUUAUCGCCUUUGGGCGAGCCCGCGUCCGAUUAGCUAGUUGGUGAGGUAACGGCUCACCAAGGCUACGAUCGGUAGCUGGUCUGAGAGGAUGACCAGCCACACUGGAACUGAGAUACGGUCCAGACUCCUACGGGAGGCAGCAGUGGGGAAUAUUGGGCAAUGGAGGCAACUCUGACCCAGCCAUGCCGCGUGGGUGACGAAGGUCUUCGGAUUGUAAAGCCCUUUCGGCGGGGACGAUGAUGACGGUACCCGCAGAAGAAGCCCCGGCUAACUUCGUGCCAGCCGCCGCUGUAAAAC
rnacentral:rRNA from 1 species